AUUGAACGCUGGCGGCAUGCUUUACACAUGCAAGUCGAACGGUAACAGGCCGCAAGGUGCUGACGAGUGGCGAACGGGUGAGUAAUGCAUCGGAACGUGCCCAGUCGUGGGGGAUAACUGCUCGAAAGAGCAGCUAAUACCGCAUACGAUCUGUGGAUGAAAGCGGGGGACCUUCGGGCCUCGCGCGAUUGGACCGGCCGAUGUCAGAUUAGGUAGUUGGUGGGGUAAAGGCUCACCAAGCCAACGAUCUGUAGCUGGUCUGAGAGGACGACCAGCCACACUGGGACUGAGACACGGCCCAGACUCCUACGGGAGGCAGCAGUGGGGAAUUUUGGACAAUGGGGGCAACCCUGAUCCAGCAAUGCCGCGUGCAGGAAGAAGGCCUUCGGGUUGUAAACUGCUUUUGUACGGAACGAAACGGUCUGGGUUAAUACCCUGGGCUAAUGACGGUACCGUAAGAAUAAGCACCGGCUAACUACGUGCCAGCCGCCGCCGUAACAC
rnacentral:rRNA from 1 species